UACGGGGGGAGCAAGCGUUGUUCGGAUUUAUUGGGCGUAAAGGGCGCGUAGGCGGCCAGGGCAGGUCAGUGGUGAAAUCUCCGGGCUUAACUCGGAACGGUCAACUGAUACUGCGCGGCUAGAGUGCGGAAGGGGCAACUGGAAUUCUCGGUGUAGCGGUGAAAUGCGUAGAUAUCGAGAGGAACACCUGCGGCGAAGGCGGGUUGCUGGGCCGACACUGACACUGAGAGACGAAAGCUAGGGGAGCAAAUGGG
rnacentral:rRNA from 1 species